UACGGGGGGAGCAAGCGUUGUUCGGAUUUACUGGGCGUAAAGGGCGCGUAGGCGGUAGCACAAGUCAGUUGUGAAAUCUCCGGGCUUAACUCGGAAAGGUCAACUGAUACUGUGCGACUAGAGUGCAGAAGGGGCAACUGGAAUUCUCGGUGUAGCGGUGAAAUGCGUAGAUAUCGGGAGGAAUACCAGCGGCGAAGGCGGCCUUCUGGACGGUGACUGACGCUGAGACGCGAAAGCGUGGGGAGCAAACAGG
rnacentral:rRNA from 1 species